rnacentral:rRNA from 1 species
CCAAUAGCGUAUAUUAAAGUUGUUGCAGUUAAAAAGCUCGUAGUUGAAUUUCGGGGUUAGUAGGCUGGUCAUGCCUCUGGUAUGUACUGGUCUCACUGAUUCCUCCUUCCUGAUGAGCUGUAAUGCCACUAAUUUGGUGUUGCAGGGAAUCUGGACUGUUACUUUGAAAAAAUUAGAGUGUUUAAAGCAGGCUAACGCUUGAAUACAUUAGCAUGGAAUAAUGAAAUAGGACGUUCGAUCCUAUUUUGUUGGUUUCUAGGAUUGACGUAAUGAUUAAUAGGGAUAGUUGGGGGCAUUAGUAUUCAAUUGUCAGAGGUGAAAUUCUUGGAUUUAUUGAAGACUAACUACUGCGAAAGCAUUUGCCAAGGAUGUUUUCAUUAAUCAAGAACGAAAGUUAGGGGAUCGAAGACGAUCAGAUACCGUCGUAGUCUUAACCAUAAACUAUGCCGACUAGGGAUCGGAUGAUGUUAAUUUUUUAAUGACUCAUUCGGCGCCUUACG